rnacentral:rRNA from 1 species
UGGCAUGGCCGUCGUCAGUUCGUACUGUGAAGCAUCCUGUUAAGUCAGGCAACGAGCGAGACCCACGUCCACAGUUGCCAGCAUACCCUCCGGGGUGAUGGGUACACUGUGGAGACCGCCGCUGCUAAAGCGGAGGAAGGAGUGGGCAACGGUAGGUCAGUAUGCCCCGAAUCUCCCGGGCUACACGCGGGCUACAAUGGUUGGUACAAUGGGCAUCUACCCCGAAAGGGGAAGGAAAUCUCUUAAAGCCAAUCGUAGUUCGGAUUGAGGGCUGCAACUCGCCCUCAUGAAGCUGGAAUCCGUAGUAAUCGCGUUUCAACAGAACGCGGUGAAUACGUCCCUGCUCCUU